UACAGAGGUCCCAAGCGUUGUUCGGAUUUACUGGGCGUAAAGGGUGCGCAGGUGGCUGGAUAAGUUUGAUGUGAAAUCUUCGGGCUUAACCCGGAAAAGGCAUUGAAUACUAUUCGGCUGGAGGUUUGGAGGGGGGACUGGAAUUCUCGGUGUAGCAGUGAAAUGCGUAGAUAUCGAGAGGAACACCAGUGGCGAAGGCGAGUCCCUGGACAACACCUGACACUGAGGCACGAAAGCUAGGGGAGCAAACAGG
rnacentral:rRNA from 1 species